rnacentral:rRNA from 1 species
CGGGUGAGUAACGCGUGGGUAACCUGCCUUGUACUGGGGGACAACAGUUAGAAAUGACUGCUAAUACCGCAUAAGCGCACAGUAUCGCAUGAUACAGUGUGAAAAACUCCGGUGGUACAAGAUGGACCCGCGUCUGAUUAGCUAGUUGGUAAGGUAAGGGCUUACCAAGGCGACGAUCAGUAGCCGACCUGAGAGGGUGACCAGCCACAUUGGGACUGAGACACGGCCCAA